UUUGUACCUCUCCUUUUUUAUGGUAGAGCAAGCAACGCAAACGAACGCCAGAGCAUCGCUGACGUCGUUGCUGGAGGAGACUUCUCCUCCUCCAAUCAGGACCCCAACCGACGCCUCGGUGGCGGGGACGAAACAGCGCCAGCAGAGACCUGAGCCCCAAAUUCUCUUGCGGUAGGGUUUUUCGCCACCGGAGACGAUAUUGGUUCCAACUUCCAAGAGAGCUCGAUCCGAUGACCUUCAAUCCCAUCGCGCCCGUUUCGCAAGAUUUCUGGCUUCGUUCUCUCCUUCCUCCCUCUAUCUAACCAUUAUCUCGAGCCGCCAAACCCACCCGAUCUCCCUCCCUCGGACGUGGUUGAAUUCCCUUCGAGAUUCAUUGGAAGCUCUUCCUAUGCGACCACGGGUAGCAACUCCAGCACAGGAUCCUGAGGUUUGAUAAUUCCAUGUCUAUCUUUGUCUUCGUCAUCGCUGUCGAUGCUGUCCAUUUCCCCGAAGAUUCAAGUCUUUUCUUCGCCAAAGAUCGGUUUUUUGGGCAACUUGUAGUAAAUCGUUCCAGAUACUCCAACAUCGUCCAACUUUACUUCAUCCUUCGUCUCCCGAGCUUCAGUUUGUUGUGUGCUUGGACGAUCUUUAAGGCAAACUCUUUAAUGGAACAACGAUUUUGAUGGAUUCUUCCAUGAAUUCCCUAAACAAAAGCAUGAGGGAAGUGCGAUGUCUUUGUGUGCAUGUACCUGUCUCAUGAUCCAACACUGAACAAGCUACUUUCUUGAGCUUACCCUUAUAUUACUGAUAAAUUCAAGAAAUCAACUUAAGCGGCUUCUGGUUGGAUCUGCUUCCAGUGGAUCCUAAAUUGGCUCCAACUGUUGAAGGUGAAAACCAAGGAGGCUGAUGGAUCUAUCUUGAUUGUUUAAUCAUAUUGCUUCCAGGUGAAUUCUACUCUCGAACAUUUAAUGCUAUCCAUGGAACAAAAUUGAUAGAGAAUUGAAUAUUUGUAUCCGAAGAAUAAAAUCGAUAGGGAAUAGAUUCAGAAUUUCUAAGUUUUUUCAUGGAAUGUGAUCUUACUUGUGAACGACGGAUGAUGAGUUGACUUUAUUGUCAACUUAAUCAUCAAUUGAAUGAUAAC